rnacentral:misc_RNA from 1 species
UUAUUUAUUUAUUUAUUUUUUCAGAAAAUUAGUUUAAACAAGCCUUAAGGUUUCUAAAGUCAUCCUCAUGACUCGCAUUAAACAACUGAUCAAAGUUGUACUUUUCUUGCAACUGUGCUAGCUUGUACUUCUCAUUCUCCCCUCCGGCGUCCGUAAAUUUUGAUACAAAUUGGCAAGAGAUUUACAAUGAGUCUCAAUAACCUCUAGCUUAGCUUCUCCUGUUGCCAAUUUAUAUUUCUCAAAGCCUUCCACAUGCCGUGAGUAACUUUCAAUACCCUUCUUUCUUCAUCUUAAUAGCCUUUUGAACCUCCUCACUUGGCCACCAACACUCUUGUAGAGGUGAUCCUUACUUUUGGAUAGUGUUAACGAGGCGUUGGGCUAUGGGCUC